rnacentral:misc_RNA from 1 species
GCUCUGCAAAUAUUCUUUGUACUUUUUCCUUUCUUCUCCUCUCGACACAAUUUCUCUAUCCAACCCUAGAUAUCAGCUGAUUUUCUCUCUACGAAUUUGAAAUUGGCAGUUCAUUCGAGCUACGUUUCAUCCUUUUUAUCUGAUAUUUAGGGUUUGGAUUUGGGGAUUAUUUUUAGCUAUGGAGGGAAUGUUGUCCAGCAAUGAUAAGCAGAGCAUGGUCUCUUCCUUCCUUGAGAUCGCCGUUGGCCAAACCGCCGAGACUGCUAUUCAGUUCCUCCAGGCCACCAGUUGGAAACUUGAGGAAGCUCUUCAGUUAUUUUAUGUAGGCAAUGAAGCUGGGCCAGUUGCAUCUGUAUCACAUUCACCACCAACAGAAAAUGCUAAUACCUGGGCAGAUGAAAAUACUGGUGGAUUGAAGGGCCAGGAAAAUGAAACUGUAAAUGUUGGACAA